GAUGAACGCUGGCGGCGUGCCUAACACAUGCAAGUCGAACGGAAAGGCCCUGCUUGCCGGGUCUUCGAGUGGCGAACGGGUGAGUAACACGUGGAUGAUCUGCCAUGUACUUUGGGGUAAGCCUGGGAAAAUGGGUACAAUCCCGGAUAGCAGCCAUUUCUAGUGUGAUGGAUGGAAAGAUUUUUGGGGGUUGGAUGAGCUCGCGGCCUAUCAGCUUGUUGGUGGGGUAGUGGCCUACUAAGGCAGCGACGGGAAGCCGGCCGGGGUGGGUGGACGGCCACAUUGGGACUGAGGUACGGCCCAGGCGCCUACUGGAGGCAACAGUGGGGAAUAUUGCUCAAGGCGCGCAAGCCGGAUGCAGCGACGCCUCGUGGGGGAUGACGGCCUUCGGGUUGUAAACUCCUUUCGCUAGAGACGAAGCUUUUUGUGACGGUACCUAAAUAAUAAGCACCGGCUAACUACGUG
rnacentral:rRNA from 1 species